UGAACGCUGGCGGCGUGCCUAAUACAUGCAAGUCGAGCGAACAGACGCGGAGCUUGCUCCUCUGACGUUAGCGGCGGACGGGUGAGUAACACGUGGAUAACCUACCUAUAAGACUGGGAUAACUUCGGGAAACCGGAGCUAAUACCGGAUAAUAUAUUGAACCGCAUGGUUCACUAGUGAAAGACGGUUUUGCUGUCACUUAUAGAUGGAUCCGCGCCGCAUUAGCUAGUUGGUAAGGUAACGGCUUACCAAGGCAACGAUGCGUAGCCGACCUGAGAGGGUGAUCGGCCACACUGGAACUGAGACACGGUCCAGACUCCUACGGGAGGCAGCAGUAGGGAAUCUUCCGCAAUGGGCGAAAGCCUGACGGAGCAACGCCGCGUGAGUGAUGAAGGUCUUCGGAUCGUAAAACUCUGUUAUUAGGGAAGAACAAAUGUGUAAGUAACUAUGCACGUCUUGACGGUACCUAAUCAGAAAGCCACGGCUAACUACGUG
rnacentral:rRNA from 1 species